UAUGUGAUCGUCUCUCGCAUAUCAAUAAGCGGAGGAAAAGAAACUAACAAGGAUUCCCCUAGUAACGGCGAGUGAAGCGGGAAGAGCUCAAAUUUGAAAUCUUAAAGGGUUUCCCUUUACGAAUUGUAGUUUAAAGAAGUGUUUUCUGUUGAGGUUUUGGUAAAAGUUCUUUGGAAUAGGACAUCAUAGAGGGUGAGAAUCCCGUAUUUGACCUUUACUUUCAACUUUGUGAUACACUUUCAAAGAGUCGGAUUGUUUGGGAAUGCAGUCCAAAAUGGGUGGUAAAUUUCAUCUAAAAGCUAAAUAUUGGCGAGAGACCGAUAGCGAACAAGUACCGUGAGGGAAAGAUGAAAAGAACUUUGAAAAGAGAGUUAAACAGUACGUGAAAUUGUCAAAAGGGAAGCGUUUGACACCAGUGUUGUUUUUCUGAAAAUCAAUUAAAGAACUGUUUAUGCUAAGUUGUUUAGACUUUAUCAGCUAUCUGCUUAGUUUUGAGCUUUUCUUUAAUGCACUUUUCAGUUAACAAGUCAACAUCAAUUUCUUUUGCUGUAAAAAAGCUUGAGGAAGGUGGCUUGAGAUUCGUCUUAAGUGUUUAUAGCCUCUUGCCUAUGCAGUCGGAGAGAUUGAGGUCUGCAGCGUAGAUCCUUCGGGGCUAAAUGCAUUUGUGCUAAGUUAUAACAUUUUAUAGACAACUUGUUGACUAUGAUUUGUCUUGUAGCUUACUCGCUUAUGUUAUUUUACCUACGCUUAGGAUGUUGAAGUCAUCGUAUCGCG
rnacentral:rRNA from 1 species